CCUCAAGCCUGAGGGGCUAUAGUUCAGUGAACCACACCACCUCAAACGCGUCACAUUCCACCAAUCACGGGGGCCUGUUGCGAUCACGUGCGUUGUGUGUACAAAACAAGCCACUGCUGCCGUGUCCUGUUAUUGAAAAACUGGGAGCAGAAAGAUUGCAAUCGCGAUCAUGGCUACCGACGUCGAGAGCCUUGAUGUUUUCGAGCGCGAUCAUUAUGACCAGUAUGACUAUUACAACCUGAACGAGUACGAUCGCGGCACAGGAGGGAAGGGCAGGACCAAGAAAGAGAUCGAGCUGAACGGAAACCGCCAUGUCCCCGCUGGGCAUGAGAGAAAAAUCGUCGAGAAGCUGCACAACAGCGAGACGAAGAGAAGGAGGAGCAGGAGUUCCUCGAACUGACAGCCAGGCCUACCUGCCUCCUUCAGGAAGAUGACGACGACGACGACGUGUGAUCCUUUAACUGUUCCUCGGUGUUUUACAUUCUAUUGUCAUAUGGAAGACUGCACAGCUUAGCCUUUUGCUGUCUGCUCUCCAGUACUUUAGGUCAUAUGUGGGACACAAAAGCACCUCCACAUGGAUGUUCUACAUUUGCAUUUUUUUACAGUGGUGUAAAGAAUUGUUAUCUGAUGUACUGUAACUUAAACCGAGUUAUCCAUUUGGCAUGGGCCAGUUCUGUACUGGUUUUGGUAAUCGUCUUUUUACAGUUUGGCACGGUUUUUGAUUGUGAAUGCAACAAUAAUGUUGUGCCUGCUUUUACAUAAAGAAUAUUUUAUGCCAAUAAAUGAAGAAUUAAUA